GCUACCUAUUCCUCUUCCAUCUUUCUCAAAUAUCUUUCUUUGACAUCUUCUAAUUCUUCUUCUAUUGGAGGUAUUUAUUUUGGAAAAGUGAAUUCAAGUGCAUUAGAAAUUGAUUUAUUUGUGUGAUUGUGUCCCUUUCUGCAUUUUUUUUUAACUGUUUUAUUGCUUUUGAUUCAUAGGUUGAAGAAGACAAAAGGAAUGCUCUUUCUUCUCUACAGAAGAUUAGGAAGGUACGAACUUUGAUGCAUAAUGUACUAGGCAUUAAAUUUAGUAAUUUGCUUAGUUAUAUGUUCUCGGUUAGGCCAAGUACGAAGCUUCAAUCAUUUUUAUGGAUGUUUUAUGUCAAAAUUGAUUUUUUAUUCAUAUUAUUUAUAAAUAAAAAAUGAUUAUAUCUAUUUAUUUAAAUUUAAUUCUAAUGUAUGUAGGUUGAAUUUAAAAUCUGCAUAGGCAAGCCUAAAGAUAGUCUUGCGUAUAAAUCAUUUCAGUUCAAUACAACUCUACAUUGAACGUUUUAGAGUUACACUUCUGAUUUCGAAGGUUUUUUGGUGCUAUUGCGUUAUUAGUUGAUUUGCUAAAAAUUUCUUAAUUUUAUAGUCUUUAUUUAAAAACAAUAAUUUGCAUAGUAUUUAAUUCAAUGUCAACAGUUAUGGAGAGAUAUCUUAAAAGGAAGGCUUCAAUUUCUAUUGAAGGUCAAAAUAUUGAUAGAAAAAAAAUCCAGCAAUGUCGAUGUGGUUGCUGAAGAUUAAAUGGAUAUUCAAGUUGAAAGUGACACUUUUGUAGAGUGAGGUUUUCAAAUUGGUAAAGGAAAAGAAAAGCUUCAAGAGCACGUUGGAAAUCACAAUAGUGCACACAAUAAAGCUCGAAUUAAGUCACUACAACAAAAGUGGCCUUUUAAGGCAUUCAUUUACAGCGUGCAUCUAGCGCAUGUUGUAAAAAUAGACCAAUUACGACAUGCGAUAUAUGUAUGCCGUUAAAAACCAAUGGAUUGAACUAUUUACGGCAUGCUUUCUUUGCAUGCCGUAAAUGUUAACUUUGCAUUAUUGCACGCCAUUUCUAGGGCAAUUUCUUAUUUUUUUUAUUUUUAAAUAUAUAACAUCAAUAUUGGAGGGAGAAAUCCCAUUACAAUUAAGCCAAACCACUUCCGAAGGAGCCCUCUGCCUUCAAAGUUGGAAUCCCCAGAGUCUUGCUGUCGGCGAUUGAACCUAUAAUACUUACAAGUUACACAAUUCAACCUAUCACCCCUACUCCCUUCUCCUCUAAAUUUAGCCCUGGUUGCGAGCCUGUGACCGUUCAAUGGAGCUAGAUUUCAUGAGAAACGCUGCUACCUUUUGCCUCCCGUGGUUGUCAUCCAUCUUCCAUCGUUGCCAUCGCAGUCAACCCAUAAAUGGAGUGAUAAGGUUAGUGUAUACUAUAUGUUAUUAGUUUUGAUUUUACAGUAUUAGUUUUGUUUUAAAGACUCCCUUCCCAAUUACUUAUGCUGAAUUUGUGAUUUUGUGAUUUUGGAAAGUUAGAGCAUUAUGCAUUCUUUUACUCAAGCAAUCCCCAAAUUUUAAUACACCUAGCCAACUAAUUAUCUGCACUAGUUCUGUAUGUACUAUUGUUCAAUUUCCAAAAGUGACCUAUGAAAAUGUAUGAAGGACUUGCUUUAAACAUGGGUUGCAGUAGUGUUGAAUUAUUUUUUUGUAAUUUCAGCUCGUGUGAAACUUUAUUGUCAAAAUGACGUACCUAAUUGGAACUUAAUUUCUAUGAUGUCCUAAUAUAAUCGUUUUCACUGUGUAAUAACAGAUUAUAACUUAGUAGUGUUGGUAUAUUAUCAUGGAUAAAGAUUGGGUACACUUAUCAAAGUUAUCUUGUCUUCUUAAAUUUAGAAUAUUUUAAAAUAUGUCUACAAUGAUUUAUUUAGCAUGUUUUCAUAGAGUUUCAAAGGUAUAUCAACGUGGUGCAAGAAAAUUUGUAAAUAUGGUGCAAGUCAAUGCAGGAAAAUCAAAUGUCAUAUGCCCUUACAAAUGUUACAAAAACCUAUUCCACCAACAUUUGAUAUACUGUAUGGGCAUUUGAUCAUUAAUGGCAUGGAUCCUACGUAUACUACUUCGGUGUUUUAUGGGAAAAAAUCGAAUGCAGCGUCAUUGUCUCCUCAAGAUGCAAAAAAUUUAGAUACGUAUUGGAUGUAUAGAGAUACAUUCUUUCAGGAUGACAAUAUUAUAGAACCCGAGAAUGAAGAUAUUGAGAAAGACUUUUCAAAUUUAUAUGAGGGCGUAGAAAUUCCUUUAUAUCCUGGUUGCAUAAAGUAUACAAGGAUAUCAACAACUGUUGUCUUAAACAAGCUUAAAGUUACAUAUGGCAUAUUUUACAAUAGUGUCAAUGAACUUCUUGAUAUUAUCUGAGAUAUGAUACUACGUGGGAACACCCUUCCUAAUUCUUUCAAUUCAACAAAAAAGUUAUUGAAACCCUUUGAUUUAGGGUAUGAGAAGAUACAUGUAUGUGUAUAUUAUUGUUGUCUGUUUAGAAAUGAUCUAGAGAAUUUGGAGACAUGUCCUAAAUGUGCACCUUCACGAUGAAAAGUCAAUGAACGUAGUAAGAAGAUUCAAAAAGGGAUACCUGCAAAGGUUUUACAAUAUUUUUUUAUUAUACCACAAUUUAGAAGAAUGUUUAGGUCACUUAAUAAGGCAGAACAUUAAUAUGGCACUCAAAUCACAAAAUUCUAAAUGGAAAAAUGCGUCAUCUAGUUGAUCAUUAGCUUGGGAGAGAAUUGAUAAAAAAAAAUGGCCUUGUUUUGCAUCAGAAUCACAAAAUCUUAGGCUUGGCCUUUCUUCUGAUGGAUUUAAUCCCUUUGGUAAUCUAAGUUCUAGGUAUAAUUGUUGGCCAGUGAUACUAGUUAUAUAUAAUCUCCCUCCUUAGAUAUGCAUGUCUAAGGAAAAUUUGUUAUUGACUUUAUCAAUCCAAGGUCCCAAGCAACUUGGAAAUGAUAUAGGUGUGUAUCUAGAUUCACUAAUAGAAGAUUUAAAGGAGAUGUUGAACAUUGGUGUUGAAGUAUACGAUACAUUUACUAAGUCCACAUUCAAUUUGAAAACUGUGUUGAUGUGGACAAUUAAUGAUCUUCCAGUUUAUGGCAACUUAUCAGGAUAUCCUACGAAAGGCGAAGCAGCAUGUCCAGUAUGUGAUUUAUCGACAUGUGUAAAAUGGUUGCCCUGUAGUCGAAAGUUUUCAUACAUGGGUCACAAAAGAUUUCUUGCACAUAAUCACCCUUAUUGGUUGAAAGAAGCUUUGUUUGAUGGAAACAAGGAGCAUGGGCCUAAUCCUAAAAUAUUAACCGAUCGAGAAGUGAUAUGUUCAAUCAAGAAUGUUAACAAUAAUUGGGGGGGAAAUAGGGAAAAAAGGACAGAUAAAAAAUUAGAUUCUAAUUGGCCUUGGAAAAAAAAAGUCAAUAUUUUUGAAACUGCUAUAUUGAAAGGUUAGUUAUUUUAAACUAUUUUGAAAAAUUUAUUUCUUUGCUUAAACUUUUUUCUAUAUUUAUAUUGUUAUUUUUCAGACACUAUUUUUGGUUCAUAAUUUGGAUGUAAUGCACAUGGAGAAGAAUGUUUGCGAAAGAAUUUUUGGCACCAUUUUGCUUAUGAAGGGAAAAUCAUAAAAUGGGUUAAAUUCUUGUAAGGAUUUAAUCAAUAUGGGUAUUAGAAAGAAUCUUCAUCCAGAAUUGAAAGGAAAUACAUAUUACCUCCCUGUAGCAUCAUAUAUGUUAUACAAAAAAGAGAAAGAGUUAUUUUGUAAGAGGAUAUUUGAUUUAAGAUUACCUAAUGGUUAUAGUUCUAACAUUUCAAAGUGUGUAUCAUUAGCAGAUAAUAGGAUUUUAAAUAUGAAAUCUCAUGAUUGUCAAGUGCUCAUACAACAAUUGCUAUUAGUUGCAUUACAAGGGCUUUUACCUAGAGGACCAAGAACUGCAAUUUUUCGACUAUGUACAUUUUUCAACAAAAUAUGUCAAAGAGUCAUCGAUAAAAAUAAAUUAGAAAAACUUGAGGAGGAUGUUGCUAUAACUUUGUGUAUGCUAGAAAGGUAUUUUCCCCAUCCUUUUUUGACAUAAUGAUUCAUUUAACCAUUCACUUUGGGCGUAACGUUCAUAUUGAUGGACCUAUGCAAUAUCUUUGGAGGUAUCCAUUUGAGAGGUAAAUUACUAUUGUAAUUUUCUAAGUAUUCAAGCUUCUUCUUCCAUUUCCUUAGAUUUUUCAUGCCUAUUAUAUGAUUAAUCAGGUUUAUGAACACACUUAAAGGAUAUGUGAGAAAUCAUUCAAGACUUGAGGGCUACAUAACAGAGCGUUAUUUAGCUGAUGAAUGUAUGCAUUUUUGUAGUGGUUACAUGAAACAAGCUUCUGAAGUAGGUUCAACGUACUUGAAAUUAGGAUUUUGAGAAUGAAACAAAUAUCGAUGGACGUCCAAUUUCUACAGAAAAGUCAAAGACUUUGAAUCCAGAAAUGUUAGAGAAUGCUCAUCGUUAUGUGCUGUUUAAUAGCGUUGCAGUUGAGCCAUAUAUAAUGUAAUGAAGUUAGUUAAUAUAUUAGUUUAACAUUGAUUGAUGUUCUCGCACUUAAAGAAAACACAGCAAUUUUUAUGACCAUUAAUUUAAUA
rnacentral:lncRNA from 1 species